CCAUAAACUUCUUGUUUUGCAGCUUUGUUUACCAAUUCCCACACUGCCUCCUUAGAACAAAAUUCUUGAUAAAGUUCUAUACCCGUACCAUCUUCCCAUUCUAUAUUCUUCGGAGUACCUUUUACACGAUUUGGAAUAGCUGGAAUAUCAUCAAAAUCAAAAAUACCAUCCACAUCUUCAUCCAAAUGGUUAUCCAUCGACCUUUCCACAGCCACAACUUCCAUACCUGUCACAUUCUGACACACUUCAUUCACCAUAACUUCAUUCACCAUAUCUUCAUUCACCAAAACUUCAUUCACAUCAUUCACCAAAACUUCAUUCUCAUCAUUCACAUCAUUCACCAAAACUUCAUUCACAUCAUUCUCCAAAACUUCAUUCACAUCAUUCUCCAUAACUUCAUUCACAUCAUUCUCCAAAACUUCAUUCACAUCAUUCUCCAAAACUUCAUUCACAUUCACUAGCUCUACAUAAUUCACACCAACUGAACUUCGACGCUCCGGUACUAACACUUCCACCCUCUGGUUAUUGUCACUUAAUAGCUCCACAUGCAAAACUGGAAUACGACCCUCUUCAUCACAUUCUGUUAAAAAAAUGUAUACGUCCUCAUCAUCUACAAUAUAUGUCUCUC
rnacentral:lncRNA from 1 species